rnacentral:misc_RNA from 1 species
GGGUUGGCUCCCGGCUUGACGAUUUCCGGCUUGGAGACAUAGACUUCGCCGGGCUUCAGUUUUUGGUAAUGAUCAGGUAUCGGCGCAUUAAAGCUUUUCAUCCUUUCGACAUACUGCUCACUUCGUUUCCAUUUCAUCGUAAAUUGUUUAUGCGGCUUGGAAUUGAAC